AGUUUGAUCAUGGCUCAGAUUGAACGCUGGCGGCAGGCCUAACACAUGCAAGUCGAGCGGAUGAAGGGAGACUUGCUCCUGGAUUCAGCGGCGGACGGGUGAGUAAUGUCUAGGAAUCUGCCUGGUAGUGGGGGAUAACAGUCCGGAAACGGGCGCUAAUACCGCAUACGUCCUGAGGGAGCAAGUGGGGGAUCUUCGGACCUCACGCUAUCAGAUGAGCCUAGGUCGGAUUAGCUAGUUGGUGGGGUAAAGGCCUACCAAGGCGACGAUCCGUAACUGGUCUGAGAGGAUGAUCAGUCACACUGGAACUGAGACACGGUCCAGACUCCUACGGAAGGCAGCAGUGGGGAAUAUUGGACAAUGGCGAAAGCCUGAUCCACCAUGCCGCGUGUGUGAAGAAGGC
rnacentral:rRNA from 1 species